GCGUCUGUGGCUUAACUGGAUAGAGCAGCGGGUUUCGGCCCCGCGGGUUGAGGGUUCGAAUCCUUCCAGGCGUGCCA
rnacentral:tRNA from 1 species